GUUCAAGUUGAACGUCUCACCUGCAGCACCAAAACUAAAAGUGAACGUGUUCCAUAUUAUGUGAACACCUGGAAUAAAGUAAUUAGAACACUUUUUUAUGUUUUAUGAUGUCUCCAGCAGGCUCGCCAUCGACACAACUUGGAGGGCGCCGUGCUGUGUGCAGAAGUUACAUGCUGAGGAGGCCUACCAAACGUCUGGAGACAUCACCAUGACAACCGGAGCUGCUGCUGCCACAGGUCACAUCCCGCAGGUACGAUUCCCGCGUCCGAGCCGUGUCUCUGUGUCGGUGCGCGGACCUCACCCUGGCGCGCGCCUCCGUCUUUUUUUGUGUGCUCGUCCUCGCGCACACUGGGCUGGCGGGAACGGAGCGGUACCCCGUCGCUAUGGGCAACCUGUUGCCAUGGCAAUCCUCCAGCAAGGUGAUGUGUGAAGCAAGCAAAUGAGCGUAGCCCCCCCCCCCCUGACUCCACCCACAGCCCACCCCUGCCCGACCCACGCGCACACACGUGCACACACAGUGUCUCCCUCUGGUGGCGAGCAGUGAGCACUGCAACGUAUUUUCCCUCCAGCUUGAUGAGCGAUAUGAAGAAAUGAUGCCAUAUGAAUCAAAGAUUGUUUAUUUGCCAGAGCUGCGCUGACUAAAGUGCAUAGAGAGGCACCAUGGCAACGUGGCACAAGACUAAACUCCCAGGAGCCUUUGCAGGCUUUAAUGUUUCUCGUCGGAUGACUCAUGUGACCACGCUGGCCAAUGAGCACAGUAAUGACAGCAGACGGCAGUCACUGAAAACCUCAUCCCAGAAACACUUCCUGCAAGUAGACCUGCACAAGACUGGACAAUCCACACCAGAAUGAUUCACACACCAAGAAACUACAAUGGCCAGUGUGUCAAACAGGAGGACACCAUCAUGUCAGGGGAGGACAGGUUACCAUGGCAACCAAUAACAAGACAGAUGGUCGUGGCCAGACGAGGAGACAAGAAAGUCCAACAAGACGUCAUGAGGAAGUUUGAAGAUGGCCUCCACUGUUUCACAUGUGACCUCCUGAUUGGUCGGCUGAUUGCCAAACAACAAUCACACAGCAGGGGGCGCUGUCCAGGACAUGUGAAUAGCUGGAGUCAAUCAUCUAAAUAAAAAUAUCCCACGUUUCGGACAAGGUCCCCUGGCAGGAGGGAAGGUUCUAGAAGUGUUCACCAUUGAACUCCAUCAAUAUUUCAAAGCUCGGCCACACUUUCUUUCCAUCGGCUGCCAAUCAGGACGAUGUCUCCGCCUCCACUGCUGCCGCGUCAACGUUGUCAAUCAUGACAGGCGCUUCGUGGUCACGUGUUCUUCCUGGUGGGACGGCGCCACUGAAGAACACGCGCACGCACUUGACAUGCAUGCUACGCACAUGCACGCUACACACAUGCUCGCUCUUCACUCGUCUUAAAGUGACAGUCCACGCCCACCUUUACCUCCACCACGUGGGACUGCAGCUUUAAGGGGGCGGAGUCAGGUGUUAGUCUAACAGGCAGGUCAGGCA